rnacentral:rRNA from 1 species
UACGUAGGUGGCAAGCGUUGUCCGGAUUUACUGGGUGUAAAGGGCGUGCGGCCGGAGAGACAAGUCAGAUGUGAAAUCCACGGGCUCAACCCGUGAACUGCAUUUGAAACUGUUUCCCUUGAGUGUCGGAGAGGUAAUCGGAAUUCCUUGUGUAGCGGUGAAAUGCGUAGAUAUAAGGAAGAACACCAGUGGCGAAGGCGGAUUACUGGACGAUAACUGACGGUGAGGCGCGAAAGCGUGGGGAGCAAACAGG